AGCUCGUUGGUCUAGGGUUAUGAUUCUCUCUUUGGGUGUGAGAGGUCUUGGAUUCAAAUCCCAGACGAGCCU